rnacentral:rRNA from 1 species
UGUGAUUGCCUUAUAGCGCGAGUGAAGCGGCAAAAGCUCAAAUUUGAAAUCUGGCACUUUCAGUGUCCGACGUUGUAAUUUGAAGAAGGUAUCUUUGGGUCUGGCUCUUGUCUAUGUUUCUUGGAACAGAACGUCACAGAGGGUGAGAAUCCCGUGCGAUGAGAUGUCCCAGACCUAUGUAAAGUUCCUUCGAAGAGUCGAGUUGUUUGGGAAUGCAGCUCUAAGUGGGUGGUAAAUUCCAUCUAAAGCUAAAUAUUGGCGAGAGACCGAUAGCGAACAAGUACAGUGAUGGAAAGAUGAAAAGAACUUUGAAAAGAGAGUGAAAAAGUACGUGAAAUUGUUGAAAGGGAAGGGCUUGAGAUCAGACUUGGUAUUUUGUAUGUUACUCUCUCGGGGGUGGCCUCUACAGUUUACCGGGCCAGCAUCAGUUUGAGCGGUAGGAUAAGUGCAAAGAAAUGUGGCACUGCUUCGGUAGUGUGUUAUAGUCUUUGUCGAUACUGCCAGCUUAGACUGAGGACUGCGGCUUCGGCCUAGGAUGUUGGCAUAAUGAUCUUAAGUCGCCCGUCUUGAAACACGGACC